UACGGAGGGAGCUAGCGUUGUUCGGAAUUACUGGGCGUAAAGCGUGCGUAGGCGGUUAUUCAAGUCAGAGGUGAAAGCCCGGGGCUCAACCCCGGAACUGCCUUUGAAACUAGAUAGCUAGAAUCUUGGAGAGGUCAGUGGAAUUCCGAGUGUAGAGGUGAAAUUCGUAGAUAUUCGGAAGAACACCAGUGGCGAAGGCGACUGACUGGACAAGUAUUGACGCUGAGGUACGAAAGCGUGGGGAGCAAACAGG
rnacentral:rRNA from 1 species